rnacentral:rRNA from 1 species
UACGUAUGGUCCAAGCGUUAAUCGGAAUUACUGGGCGUAAAGCGUGCGCAGGCGGUUGUGCAAGACCGAUGUGAAAUCCCCGAGCUUAACUUGGGAAUUGCAUUGGUGACUGCACGGCUAGAGUGUGUCAGAGGGGGGUAGAAUUCCACGUGUAGCAGUGACAUGCGGAGAGAUGUGGAGGAAUACCGAUGGCGAAGGCAGCCCCAUGGGAUAACACGGACGCGCAUGCACGCAAGCGUGGGGAGCACACAGGAUGCGAUAACACCGGAGUCC